rnacentral:tRNA from 1 species
GUUGAUGUGGCUGAAGUUGAAGCGGUAAAUUGUAAAUUUAUUUAUAGUAGUAAUAUUCAUCAAUA